rnacentral:lncRNA from 1 species
AUGGGAGGUUCCCCCCUUUCAAAUAAAAUGAAAAUAAAUAAAAAACUUAACCCAGGCAGGCUCUGGAGUCAGACUGACGUGGGCUUGGGUGUGGCUGUCUUUCUUCAGGCCCUUACCUCGCCAAAGACAAGACUUGGGGUGCAGACACGAAUAAGGUCACAAAGUGAUAGCGAAAUUCACGCAAAAGGGGCACUGGGAAGCCACCAGCCCGAGCCUCUCGACUCUCGAGAGCCCGCAUUGCCAUGGAACCGCCACGGAACCGCCACGGAACCGCCACGGAACCACCACAGAACCUUCUAGGGGUGAGGCUCUGCAGGCCGUGUGGCUUCCAGCUGUGAGGACAUAACCUUCCUGAGCCCGAUUGUUUGUCCCCCCCCCCCUCCAUGAGGGUUUGAAAGUCAACAAGGAGCCCAAGGAAAGAAGGAGGAAAGACAAUAACUGAGGGGGGGGGGAGCCGUGUUCCGGAGCUGCUCCCCAACCUGUGGCAAAGCCCUGCUUUUAAUUGUCACUAAAGGGAUUAAACCGGCGCUCCUUGGAUGCACAGAGUGGGGCUUGCACAGCCUAAUUAAAGGGCUUGCCAGGGGGGACGGGAGUGGGCUCAGGUGGGCCUUGGCGCCUCCGUCCGGCCCGGGAUGAUCCUGCACAGGCACGAGGAGACUGGGCGGGGCCGGGGUGAUUAAGAUGCCAUUAAUUGGAAGAUUCGGAAAGUCUUCUGCAACGCUGGUACGUCCCUGCUCGGGAGCCGUCGCGAAGACCAGAACCCCGCAUGGCCGGCACAGCCGCUCCAGAGGGGUCGUAUGGCCGAGUGGACGCGCGAGGCCCAGCGAGGUGUUCCCGGAGGGAGGCCGAGGGCAGGGUGGCCGUCCUGGGAUCUCCCCGGCUUGCUGCUUCCCGUGAACCUCGAGCUGGAGGGGAAGGCGAGCCAGGUGUGCAGGGCUCAUCGGUGGGGGCCGGACGAGCCUGCAGGCUGUCACCCUCUGUCGCUGUCGUAAGUCGGGGUGCAGACUUGGGUGGCUGGAAACAACGUGGUUUACUGAGGGUGGACUGAGGAGGCUAACCAGAGUGCACGGGGGUUGGGCGAGCUCCUGCCCCCUCCCCGCCCCCCCCGUCGUGGGCGGCUCUGCUCCCUGCCUGAGGCCCCGAGUCCUGCUCCUGCCACACUGCCCUUCCUUCAUUCCCAGGGACGCGUGGCUGCCGCCCGUGUGGGCGACAGGAGCCAGGGCUGCCGUGGGAACCGGGCAGCGUUCCCGGGAACAGGAGGAAGGGUGUGGACGGACGGGAAGCCCGGCCCUCCCGCGGG